AUUAUAUAUAGGCUUUAAUUUAAUUUGGGCCAUUAUUGUUGGUCUAUAAAAUAAACCCAAUAAGUACAACCGUGCAAUUGAGUCAAACUCUAAAUUACAUAACACACUCUCUUUUUCAGACUUUCACUGUUGUACAUAACCUAAAAACAUGAUAACAUUCAAAUUUUCAAAUCCCUGAUUUUUUUUCCCCCCUCUCUCUC
rnacentral:lncRNA from 1 species